rnacentral:rRNA from 1 species
CUACGUAGGUGACAAGCGUUAUCCGGAUUUACUGGGCGUAAAGGGCGUGUAGGCGGUCUUGCAAGUCAGAAGUGAAAUUCCUGAGCUCAACUCGGGCGCUGCUUCUGAAACUGCAGGACUUGAGUGCUGGAGGGGAUAGCGGAAUUCCUAGUGGAGCGGUAAAAUGCGCAGAUAUUAGGAAGAACACCGGUGGCGAAGGCGGCUAUCUGGACAGUAACUGACGCUGAGGCGCGAAAGCGUGGGGAGCAAACAGGAUUAGAUACCCUGGUAGUCCACGCCGUAAACGAUGAACACUAGGUGUAGGGGGUAUCGACUCCCUCUGUGCCGCAGUUAACACAAUAAGUAUUCCGCCUGGGGAGUACGGCCGCAAGGUUGAAACUCAAAUGAAUUGGCGGGG